rnacentral:rRNA from 1 species
GACGAACGCUGGCGGCGUGCUUAACACAUGCAAGUCGAACGGAAAGGCCCUGCUUUUGUGGGGUGCUCGAGUGGCGAACGGGUGAGUAACACGCGAGUAACCUGCCCUUGACUUUGGGAUAACUUCAGGAAACUGGGGCUAAUACCGGAUAGGAGCUCCUGCUGCAUGGUGGGGGUUGGAAAGUUUCGGCGGUUGGGGAUGGACUCGCGGCUUAUCAGCUUGUUGGUGGGGUAGUGGCUUACCAAGGCUUUGACGGGUAGCCGGCCUGAGAGGGUGACCGGCCACAUUGGGACUGAGAUACGGCCCAGACUCCUACGGGAGGCAGCAGUGGGGAAUAUUGCACAAUGGGCGGAAGCCUGAUGCAGCAACGCCGCGUGCGGGAUGACGGCCUUCGGGUUGUAAACCGCUUUCGCCUGUGACGAAGCGUGAGUGACGGUAAUGGGUAAAGAAGCACCGGCUAAGUACGUG